rnacentral:rRNA from 1 species
GACGUAGGGCGCGAGCGUUGUCCGGAUUUAUUGGGCGUAAAGAGCUCGUAGGCGGCUUGUUGCGUCGACUGUGAAAACCCGCGGCUUAACCGCGGGCUUGCAGUUGAUACGGGCAGGCUAGAGUUCGGUAGGGGAGACUGGAAUUCCUGGUGUAGCGGUGAAAUGCGCAGAUAUCAGGAGGAACACCGGUGGCGAAGGCGGGUCUCUGGGCCGAUACUGACGCUGAGGAGCGAAAGCAUGGGGAGCGAACAGG